CGAGAAAUUAUCUUUUACAACAAUAGUUGUACAUAUCAAAAGUUGAUAAGAAUUUUGAAUUUGACGAAUUUAUUUUGACGUUCAACUCUGCGUGUAAUCAAUGAAACUAUCUCGACCUUCAUCUUCACUUUUGAUGGAAACUUUUUGCCGAUGCGGUUCAAAUCGAAAAGGAAACAAAAAUGUUGUUGGGAAAAAAUUGAGGAGGAAUGAUAGAUUUUUGAAAUUGCCAAGGAAAGUGAUCAACGAAAAAACUUUUAAUUCAAGAAAUUGAAUUUUAAAAUAAUUUGGAGCGAAACACGUUAUACAAAGUAAACGUGUUUCGAGUAACAGGAAAAAUACCUACUGGAAUAAUCCGAAAUUGGUCACUAUUUGGAGAAAGAAAGAGAGAGAGGAGGAAGGAAAUUUCCACCCACAGCUGGUAUAUAUUGGCGGGUGCCAAAUCGGUCAAUUAUGCAAUAUAUAAGACGUUCAAGGCCAAUGACCCCCAAAAGGCACUCCUCAAGGAUUUUUUGGAAAUAAAAUAAAUUUCGAAUGCCCAGGAAGUAGUUGUAUUGAAAGAGAAUAGAAUGAAAAUACGAUUAAAAUGACACGUUUACGCAUACUGGCAUUUCUUGCAAAGAGGUCACGUUCUCUGGGUUAAAGUCCUCAGUUACAUACUGCACGCAGCUCGACGUACCCCACUCUUUUGUGACGAACUCUGCGUUCAAAAUUAUGACGUGUUCUGCAUCAUUGUGUAUUUAAAAUACAAUUAAAAUCACAAAAACAAGGAAGCGUUCAAAUUGGUGUAUUGGCAGAUAAUUUGAAAAUUACACAAACAAUAAAAAUGCGGACAAAAAUGAGGAAAUAAUCUACAACGAAGAAAAAAUUCGAAGGUUUCGAAAGGAAAAAUUGAAGAGAAAUUCUUGAUAAAGAAUUAUAGAAUGAGAGAAGAAAGUUUGUGGAAAAUAUUUCCCACGAGCAGGCGGAGAAAUAAAUGUCGAAAUAAUUUUUUUUAAAUGAAAAUUAUUUUUGUUUUGAAAGUGAGAUACAAUGCACUCGCACGUUAUACGCAAUGUCGUUUUAUGAAUUAAUUAGAUAACGAGCAACGACAAUUAGAACUGGUAAAUGGCCGAAUGAAAACACCAUCUGCUUCUCAUCUCAAGUGAAAAAAUUGGUAUUUUCCAAUUAAUUUAAAUUGAAAUAAACGUUUGAAAAAGAAAAACAGGCCCUCAUUGACGAAAUAUUGGGACAUUCUUUCAAGUAAUUAAGAUCAAUUUUUAUCAGUGAGGAAUUUAAGUAACUGGUUCUUAUCAAAAAAAUAAGCGAAAGGAUAAUUGGAUAAUGAAGAAGAAGAAGAAGAGCGAGAAGAAAAAAAGAAAAAUGCGGAAAGGAAAAAAUGCGAGAACUGAAAGAGAUGAGUAAAGACUGAUUGUGAUGAAUAAGCUGAAUGUGAAUAAAUACCGAAGUAAAUUAACAAUAGAAGAGAAACAACGAAAAAGGAGAAGAAUUGUGAAGAUUGAAUGAAGAUUGAAAAUGAAUUGAAGAAGAAGGUCACUGUACCUUAUUUUUGGACGGCAUGUUUUUAAAAAAGAGGAAACGAGGAUCUAUGGGGGAAGUCUCCUCUUCAGGAAGGGAAAAAUAAUUCCCAAAUGGACACUGUCCAACUAUUCAAGGGAACGAAUGAUAUUAAAAUGCGACAGUUUAUCACUCAAUGGACGUGCCCACUGUUAAUUCCCCACUACCUAACACAACUCAUCUGACUUUAAUUCUCUUCCCCUCAUAUGGAGUGCCAUCUUCAUUUUCUGUUUUUCUUUUCUUUUCUUUUUUUUCUCUCACUUCUGCUAUAAUGUUGCCAACAAUAAACAAAGCAAAUUGCGAUAGAUAAGGUACAAA